rnacentral:lncRNA from 1 species
GGUAGGCAGGCACCUGGUUCCCUGAGCCCUGACCACUGCCUCCAGGGCCUGACCAGUGGGGAGCUGGCGUCAGGAGCCAGAGCUGGGAACCCCCACCCCCAGGACUCGGGUGUGGGGCCGGGGGCUCAGCUCUCGGCCCAACGCCUGCCCCGACCUCAGCUGUCCUGAGGCAGAGAGAAAGGUCUUCCUUUGCCGUUGGUUCACCCUCCAAUGGCCGCUGCGGCCGGCGCGCUGCGGCCAGCGCACCACGCUGAUCCGAUGGCAGGAGCCAGGUGCUUCUCCUGGUCUCCCAUGGGGUGCAGGGCCCAAGCACCUGGGCCAUCCUCCACUGCACUCCCUGCCCACAGCAGAGGGCUGGCCUGGAAGAGGGGCAACUGGGACAGAAUCCGGCGCCCCGACCGGGACUAGAACCCGUUGUGCCGGCGCCGCUAGGCGGAGGAUUAGCCUAGUGAGCCGCGGCGCCGGCCCAGGAUGCACUCUUUCCACUGCUGGCUCUGGGCACGCCCGGAGCAGCGUCAGGACGCACGGCGCAGAUGUCAAGCAGAAAGGCCCCCUGGCAACACUCGUGUGUGCAGAGAACACCCCAGAGUGGAGAGGAGACACAGGCACCAGACAGGACCACGGGGGAGGGGGCACUCUGAUGUCUUUGUCGACAUAUCUCCAUCUGCUCGUUCAGUCUCCACAUGGCUGCAGCCGCCAAGGCUGGGCCAGGCCGAAGCCGGGAGCCAGGAGCUCCACCCAGGUCUCUAACAUUGGGUGCAGGAGCCCAAGUGCUUGGGCCAGCACCUGCCGGCUUCCCAGGCGCAUUAGCAGGGGGCUGGAUCGGAAGCAGAGCAGCUGGCCUCGAACCCGUGCUCCGUCUGACACGGGUGCUGGCGCUGCGGGCAGGAGCAUGACUCACAACCGGCCCCUGGGCACCUCUGCUUUGUAACUGAAAGUGGGCAGUGCAAGGCUGACUCCCGCGGCCCGGUUCUAUGGAACGCUGGGGGCUUCCUUCUCUGUCGGCACCGCCACCCAUGACCUGGGCACUCGCCUGUCCCCUGAGCUUACACACGGCGGCUCAGUCUCUUCUUUGUUUCUUUUCAUUUAUUCAAAUGGCAGAGAGACAGAGACAAACAGACGGAGACCCUCUAUCUGCUGGUUUGCUCAUCAAAUGCCCGCAACAGCCGGCGCUGGGCCAGACUGAAGCCAGAAUGGAAGAUCUCUCCCCC